UGGGGAAUAUUGCACAAUGGGCGCAAGCCUGAUGCAGCCAUGCCGCGUGUGUGAAGAAGGCCUUCGGGUUGUAAAGCACUUUCAGCGGGGAGGAAGGCGAUAAGGUUAAUAACCUUGUCGAUUGACGUUACCCGCAGAAGAAGCACCGGCUAACUCCGUGCCAGCAGCCGCGGUAAUACGGAGGGUGCAAGCGUUAAUCGGAAUUACUGGGCGUAAAGCGCACGCAGGCGGUCUGUCAAGUCGGAUGUGAAAUCCCCGGGCUCAACCUGGGAACUGCAUUCGAAACUGGCAGGCUAGAGUCUUGUAGAGGGGGGUAGAAUUCCAGGUGUAGCGGUGAAAUGCGUGGAGAUCUGGAGGAAUAACGGUAGCGAAGGCGGCCCCCUGGACAAAGACUAACGCUCAAGUGCGAAAGCGUGGGGAGCAAACAGG
rnacentral:rRNA from 1 species